rnacentral:rRNA from 1 species
CGGGCCAGAAAUGGUCAACUCUUUGGACACUCGUGAACAGGUGGUGCAUGGUUGUCGUCAGCUCGUGUCGUGAGAUGUUGGGUUAAGUCCCGCAACGAGCGCAACCCUCGUCCUAUGUUGCCAGCGCGUUAUGGCGGGGACUCAUAGGAGACUGCCGGGGUCAACUCGGAGGAAGGUGGGGAUGACGUCAAAUCAUCAUGCCCCUUAUGUCUUGGGCUUCACGCAUGCUACAAUGGCCGGUACAAAGGGCUGCGAUACCGUAAGGUGGAGCGAAUCCCAAAAAGCCGGUCUCAGUUCGGAUUGAGGUCCGCAACUCGACCUCAUGAAGUCGGAGUCGCUAGUAAUCGCAGAUCAGCAACGCUGCGGUGAAUACGUUCCCGGGUCUUGUACACACCGA